rnacentral:rRNA from 1 species
CCUACGGGAGGCAGCAGUGAGGAAUAUUGGUCAAUGGGCGGGAGCCUGAACCAGCCAAGUCGCGUGAGGGAAGACUGUCCUAUGGAUUGUAAACCUCUUUAGGCGGGGAGCAAUGCCGGGCACGUGUGCCCGGCGGGAGAGUACCCGCAGAAUAAGCAUCGGCUAACUCCGUGCCAGCAGCCGCGGUAAUACGGAGGAUGCGGGCGUGAUCCGGAUUUAUUGGGGUUAAAGGGUGCGUAGGCGGAUGUUUACGUCAGCGGUAAAAUGUCCGGGUUCAACCCGGGCCGGCCGUUGAAACUGGGGAUAUUGAGUGGGCGAGAAGUAUGCGGAAUGCGUGGUGUAGCGGUGAAAUGCAUAGAUAUCACGAAGAACUCCGAUUGCGAAGGCAGCAUACCGGCGCCCGACUGACGCUGAGGCACGAAAGCGUGGGGAUCGAACAGGAUUAGAUACCCUUGUAGUC